rnacentral:rRNA from 1 species
CCCGCUGAACUUAAGCAUAUCAAUAAGCGGAGGAAAAGAAACUAACAAGGAUUCCCCUAGUAACUGCGAGUGAAGCGGGAAAAGCUCAAAUUUAAAAUCUGGCGGUCUCGCGGCCGUCCGAGUUGUAAUCUGGAGAAGCGUCUAUCCGCGUCGGACCGUGUACAAGUCUUCUGGAAGGGAGCGUCGUAGAGGGUGAGAAUCCCGUCUUUGACACGGACAACCGAUGCUUUUGUGAUGCGCUCUCGAAGAGUCGAGUUGUUUGGGAAUGCAGCUCAAAAUGGGUGGUAAAUUCCAUCUAAAGCUAAAUAUUGGCGAGAGACCGAUAGCGAACAAGUACCGUGAGGGAAAGAUGAAAAGAACUUUGGAAAGAGAGUUAAACAGUACGUGAAAUUGCUGAAAGGGAAACGCUUGAAGUCAGUCGCGUUGGCCGGGGAUCAGCCUUGCUUUUGCAUGGUGUACUUUCUGGUUGACGGGUCAGCAUCAAUUUUGACCGCUGGAAAAAGACCUGGGGAAUGUGGCAGCUUCGGCUGUGUUAUAGCCCCUAGUCGCAUACAGUGGUUGGGAUUGAGGAACUCAGCACGCCGCAAGGCCGGGUUUCGACCACGUUCGUGCUUAGGAUGCUGGCAUAAUGGCUUUAAGCGACCCGUCUUGAAACACGG